UGAGCAAUCGCAGGCCGUCAUUUGGGCAAUUUACACUUAAGGACCCAUUGCAGCCCAGAAUUCCCCUUGAAAUCCUGAGUAGAGCAUGCUGCAGUCAAAUCUCACCUGAAGCGCACAGGUAUCGUCUUGAGACUGACCCCAUACCGCAGCAAUUACGCUACGGUCAAAGACUCUUUUAAUUGUUUUUAUUUUUUUUUAUGGAUGUACCCGGAUGUGGAAUCGAACUCGGGGUCAAGUUGUUAGUACAUUAGUACUACUAACUGACGCCCUAUCCGACUACCCUACCCGUUCCCCUAUGGCAAUGUUAAUCCGCUAGAUGGCUAUGUCGUCUGCUACCAACAGUUUAAAGUGUCAAACAACAACAAACAAACUUUUAAACUUCUCGAAACCAUAUUCUCUGGGGACAGGUGGUCAUGGGAUCAUCAUAUCAUCGUGGUGCAACGAAAGAUUUCGUUGCAAUAGCCAAAAUGGCUAGUUAGUGCAACGAAAUAUUUCGUUGCAAUAGAUUUCACCGCUGAUACCAAGAGGCUACUGGGGUUGUUGAUUGAAGAUGUCCGAUUCACAAGAGAUUGCAGUGUUAACAGCAAUAUAUCACUUCAAGCCACUGUUCCAAACCCAGUUGAAACAAAUAGAGUCAAUCUGCUUGAAAAAAUCUUACCCAUUCUGACAUCAUUUGUUCAGUUUAUGUGUGUCUCCAAAAGCAAUGUGACUAUAGUAGCCCAGUUGAACAACAACAAGUUGGUCCAUGCUUCUGUUAACAAUCUGAGUUUAGACGGAAGCAUUUUACCACGCUCACAGAUUGCACUCUAAGGUCUGAUAGAUGUGUUUUCAUGUCAAAUUCUUCAGACCGUAGCUUCUACUGAAAGAGAUGGAAAGGUCAACCAGCAAUCACAAUUUGUCGAAUCACGAACGAAAACUUGGCAGCCGUGUUUAGCAGAGUUUUCAGUUGGAGUUCAAACAGAAAUUCACGUUGACCCAGUUUUACCGGCCAUCACGAAAUUAAUGCUAAAUAUUUCCAACCCAAAAUUGUCCAUUAAUGACAGACUUGUCAAGGCUUUUGAGACAAAAAGCGUGCAAGAUGAUGCGCCUCAAGAAAUUAAGGCACCAGUCGCCAAAUUGGUCUCUCUAUUUUCCCCGAGUAAUUUUUCUUAUAUAAAUACCGUAGUCUUUGCCACGCUGCGCAUUACUUUUUGACGGACAUUCCAUCAUUGAAGCUGAAGGAUUAAAUUGGAAGCUAGCUGAUAACGAUCUUGAUCUUAAACAGGAAAGAAUCAGUUUCGAUUGCGAGGCUGCCACAAACAAAUGUGGACUAGUCACUCAGCAUUGCCCAUUUGCGCGUUUGCUUCCCCUACCGUUACCAGUUUUCCGAAGCCUGCCAACAGGAGAUGGUGAGCGUCUUCAAGUGGCUAAAAUCGCUGCACAAAAAGCCUCGGCUUCCUGGACAAAUAGAGCCACUUUAUCGUGACGUUCGUCUGUCAGUUACACUAUUUUCUAUGGUGCUUUGUGACGACCCAUUUGAAGUCAAGCUCCGUGAUAACUACGAAUUGCGCGAAGAUGAAUUUCAUGAGAGUCUCAAACGUAAGCGUACGUUGGACGCUAAAAUUGAAGAACUCCGAAGAACGCACCCACCUCUGACGCAAGGUUAAAUGAGGCCAUGAAAGUAGCCCCACCUGGUAGGGAUGUGCGAAAGGUUUUGCUGAAAGCCAUCGAAGAGACCGAAAGUGCCCAUCAACGGCUCCCUGGAACUUCCACCCUGGCCUUAAUGGAAACAUCUUCUGACACCAUCCAAGACUGCUGCAGCAGCGGAGUUGGUUCCAGUUCGACUUCCACUUCCGAACGAGGUUAACCCCCUUUGCUGGGCACCACUGUUCGUUUGACCGUGCCUCUAGUGAAAUAAUUGUUAAGAUAUUUAGUUGAAUGUAAUUUUCGUCUUAUAACUUACCGUAAAUCUUGUAAUUGGCGUGCUUCGUUCUUCGAGAUAAUUUGUUUUCUUCAUCUGCUUUGGCGUCGGAUCAAAUUCUCAGUAGACGUCUUAUAACUGAAAUUCUAUCAAUUUUAGAACCAGCUCUUGAUGAUUAUUAACUUAUUGGCGAUUCAAUCAAAUAAUGACAUUUUUAAAAGGUAUCUUCUAUUAAAAAAGCGUGACGGUUUAUAGAAACAAAAUGUUUUCAUUAAGUGACAUGUAAA
rnacentral:lncRNA from 1 species